CCGCAAUGGGCGAAAGCCUGACGGAGCAAUACCGCGUGAGGGAGGAAGGCUCUUGGGUCGUAAACCUCUUUUCUCAGGGAAGAACACAAUGACGGUACCUGAGGAAUAAGCAUCGGCUAACUCCGUGCCAGCAGCCGCGGUAAUACGGAGGAUGCAAGCGUUAUCCGGAAUGAUUGGGCGUAAAGCGUCCGCAGGUGGCAAUGUAAGUCUGCUGUUAAAGAGUCUAGCUCAACUAGAUAAAAGCAGUGGAAACUACAUAGCUAGAGUACGUUCGGGGCAGAGGGAAUUCCUGGUGUAGCGGUGAAAUGCGUAGAGAUCAGGAAGAACACCGGUGGCGAAGGCGCUCUGCUAGGCCGUAACUGACACUGAGGGACGAAAGCUAGGGGAGCGAAUGGGAUUAGAUACCCCAGUAGUCCUAGCCGUAAACGAUGGAUACUAGGCGUGGCUUGUAUCGACCCGAGCCGUGCCGUAGCUAACGCGUUAAGUAUCCCGCCUGGGGAGUACGCCGGCAACGGUGAAACUCAAAGGAAUUGACGGGGGCCCGCACAAGCGGUGGAGUAUGUGGUUUAAUUCGAUGCAACGCGAAGAACCUUACCAAGGCUUGACAUGUCGCGAAUCUUCUUGAAAGGGAAGAGUGCCUUCGGGAGCGCGAACACAGGUGGUGCAUGGCUGUCGUCAGCUCGUGUCGUGAGAUGUUGGGUUAAGUCCCGCAACGAGCGCAACCCUCGUUUUUAGUUGCCAGCAUUAAGUUGGGCACUCUAGAGAGACUGCCGGUGACAAACCGGAGGAAGGUGGGGAUGACGUCAAGUCAGCAUGCCCCUUACGCCUUGGGCUACACACGUACUACAAUGCUCCGGACAGAGGGCAGCAAGCAUGCGAAUGCAAGCAAAUCCCGUAAACCGGAGCUCAGUUCAGAUCGCAGGCUGCAACUCGCCUGCGUGAAGGAGGAAUCGCUAGUAAUUGCAGGUCAGCAUACUGCAGUGAAUUCGUUCCCGGGCCUUGUACACACCGCCCGUCACACCAUGGAAGCUGGUAGUGCCCGAAGUCAUUACUCC
rnacentral:rRNA from 1 species